CGCCUCCGUGAAUGCGCCCUAACUCUAAACGCGAAGGGAAGUCACUCACGGAUGCCGGACCCUCAUGGAGCCAUCUGAUGCUGAAGGCCCUUCCCGGGCCCCUGAAUCUUCAUUGACUCUCAGAACAGACCUGUGCAGACGUCCAUCCUGGAGAAGAGAAAUAACGCACCUGUGGUCACCGCGUGAACAGCAGCUCAGCCCCCCGGGCCUCCGAAGACCCCAUCUGCCAGGUCACCAGCACUGCUCAGAGCAAAACAGGGCAGAUGAAUAACAGCAAAGCUGGAGACAGUGAGAAGCAGGCUGAGAAAACACAAAGCAAAGCAAGAGGAGAUGGACAUGUCAGCCACGAUUGAUUCUGGGAGCAAUGGGACUAAAGUCGUUUUCUUUUCUCUUAAACUCUUUCCGCAUCUUCCAGAUUUUCUGUUUUACAAACCUUUGCUUGAAAGCAUUACCAUAGAAAACUCUUUGAAGGAAAAAAAUCAGUAGCAUUUUAUGAAUGUACCUCCAUCCAAUCCCUCCUUUUCUGUUUUUUCAGGUUUGAAAGUUUUUCUAUUGUUUGAGUUUAUAAGUGACAAAUUUUGGUAACCAACUUUUCUAGAAAAAAAAAAUGAGAGUUUAAAGAUGCAUUCAGUUUCCACUCUGGAACUAUUUGGUUUAAGGAUUUCAUGUAGUGUAGUGUUAGCUGCUCGGUGGUGUCCAACUCUGCGACUCCAUGGACUGUAGCCCAUCGGGUUCCUCUGUCCAUAGAAUCCUCUAGGAAAGAAUAUCAGAGUGGGUAGACAUCCCCUUCUCCAGGGGAUGGUCCUGACCCAGAGAUCAAACCCUGGUCUCUAGCAUUGCAGGCAGAUUCUUUACCAUCUGAGCCACAAGAGAAGCUCACUUUAAAGGACAAUUGCCUGAUAACUUCUAUAAACAUCAGAGUGCAUUGUUUGGAAAUAUUUUUUUAUGGAUAGUUUUUAUUUCACUUACACAAUUGUAAAGUUUUAUCUCUUCAGGGACUAAACUGCAUUUAGGGAGCUGAGUUUGCCCUGAGACACCAUUUCAGGGCAACCCUCUCAUUUGUCUAUUCUUAGCUUCAUUGAAGGUUUUAAAAAUAAAAUUUUAAACUGCAGCUUCA
rnacentral:lncRNA from 1 species